rnacentral:rRNA from 1 species
UAGGGAAUCUUCGGCAAUGGACGAAAGUCUGACCGAGCAACGCCGCGUGAGUGAAGAAGGUUUUCGGAUCGUAAAACUCUGUUGUUAGAGAAGAACAAGGACGUUAGUAACUGAACGUCCCCUGACGGUAUCUAACCAGAAAGCCACGGCUAACUACGUGCCAGCAGCCGCGGUAAUACGUAGGUGGCAAGCGUUGUCCGGAUUUAUUGGGCGUAAAGCGAGCGCAGGCGGUUUCUUAAGUCUGAUGUGAAAGCCCCCGGCUCAACCGGGGAGGGUCAUUGGAAACUGGGAGACUUGAGUGCAGAAGGGGAGAGUGGAAUUCCAUGUGUGGCGGUGAAAUGCGUAGAUAUAUGGAGGAACACCAGUGGCGAAGGCGGAUCUCUGGUCUGUAACUGACGCUGAGGCUCGAAAGCGUGGGGAGCAAACAGG